AGAUAAGAGAGCUUGAAGUAACAGAGAGGACCAUUAUUCGAGAGCAAAUAACGAAGAGGGCGAAGAAUCAUAAAAACAUCUAACUGCUACAUCACACACUCGCAAACAGGGAACUUUCUAAAAGAUUUUUGCUAGUGGUUCAAUCUCCUCUUUCUCGGAAUAGCUGGCAGUAAAAUUUAAAGUCCUCGAAAGGUUCGCUUGGAACGCCGCUUAAUUCUAAACAGGUGGCCGUUUCAUCUGGCGCACGAUUCUCGUCAAUCUCCGAAUGAUUCGAAAAUACUCUUUCUAAUAUCACCAUCGAAUUCCGCUUGUUCUUCCAAAAUACCCUUUCUUCUUUUAAUAAAUCGAUUCAAAUUACAGUCUUUGUCGUUUUAAGAGGUGGUUGGAAUCCUUUCAUUCUGCUUUUUGCUUCCUUUGAACUGUUUGUAUUUCAAAUGUUCUUCAACGAACUGUAGUCUAUCGGACUAGUCACUCUGUCUGUCGAACUAGUUCCUUCGCCUGUGUUUCCGCAGACGUAAGAUUUAGAAAACGCCAUUUGAUCAGUGAUUGUUGCAUUUCGAUACGAUAAUGGUUUUAUGCUCACGGUUGCUCACUGUGCUGUCAUUUGAUUGGUGGAGAUUGCGAUCCGAAACUUUUCAAAAAUCAUCUCCAUCUCAGUUAGGCUCAGAUCGACGGUUUCAUCGCACAAGAAGUAUCGCACUGAAGAUGCCUAGCCUCACUGAUGAGCAAAUAACGUGACUUGCCCAUAGCCACAACAAGACAGCAGAAACAGAAUGGCAGCCAGGGUGGCAAGCUGUUUUCAGUGGAUAGUAAUAUACACACUUGCCCAAAAGAGUGAAGCCUCAGCUAAAUGGCAGGAAUCUUGCUGCAGGAUGUUUGCGUCAAGGAAACCAGAUGUUGCUUCGCGAGACACGACGCAGAUGUAUUUUUCCCAGAACCAACCCAAGAAGAUCAGCGGCAGAGACUCAAGCAUCUGUCACGCAAUUCCCGUCACGUGACUAGCAUUUUCACUUUCCAACUACUGAAGCCUGAAGCACCUGAACUCUAACAUUAGCUAGCUAAUGAUGAUAGGCAACUUGCACUAACUUUGAUCACAUAACUUUUUGGGUGCCAAAGUAGCGCGCACUCCGGCUGUUGGCGCGAAUUAACAACAAAAAAGCAACUUAUCCAGCUCUUACGGAUCAGCCAAAAGGUUUUCGUGUGUCAGAUUUAUUUAUUUGUUUAUUUCCGUAUGUCGUUCCCUGCGAUUAUCACGGCUAGCGCGUCAGCGUUGCUCGUUCGCCAGCGAUAUAAGCAGCUCGAAAUGCGUCACACUUCUGAUUCUUCCAGUAAGUUUCCUUGCUCUGAUUCUCCUCGUAAAAUUAUUUAAUGCUCCUCAUAAAUUUAUCUUGUUUUGAUGUUCUCUGUCAAUUACCUUGGUCUGUUGGUACGAGAAGCAUCAGAGAGCGUGGUAAAUUUACGAGAAGCAUCAGAGAGCAUGGUAAAUUUACGAGAAGUAUCAGAGAGCAUGGUAAAUUUACGAGAAGCAUCAGAGAGCGUGGUAAAUCUACGAGAAGCAUCAGAGAGCAUGGUAAAUUUACGAGAAGCAUCAGAGAGCGUGGUAAAUUUACGAGAAGCAUCAGAGAGCAUGGUAAAUCUACGAGAAGCAUCAGAGAGCGUGGUAAGUUUACGGAGAGCAUCAGAGAGCGUGGUAAGUUUACGAGAAGCAUCAGAGAGCGUGGUAAGUUUACGGAGAGCAUCAGAGAGCGUGGUAAAUUCACGGAGAGGCUCAGAGAGAACGGUAUAUUUACGGAGAGCAUCAGAGAGCGUGGUUAUUUUACGAAGAGCACAGAGAGCAUGGUAACUUUGCGGAGAGCACUAGAGAGCAUGGUAAAUUUACGGGGAGCAUCAGAGAGCAUGGUAAAUUUACGGAGAGCAUCGGAGAGUAGUUGUGGGUGCUUUUUUUGGAGUAGCAAGGAUAAAAUUUAUAUAAAUAAUAUGUAUACAUUAUGGUCUUCUUGAAUAAAAGUUGAUAAAGUAGAA